AUUAAACUAUUGUUUAUUCGACGUGGUCUGCAUCUGGGUCUUCCCUUCAUACCUGAUAGCCACAUAGGUACAACUGUUCCACAUGGCACGCCCCACAGACACAUCUCAAUAAUGUUAGUGAAUAUUCUUUUAGGGAUACAAUUUUGUUUUUUGACAAGUUUACAGUUAAAUGCAUAGGAAUAUCAAAAUGCACCUCUCCAAAGGCAUUUUUGCAACAUUUGAUUCAAAUGACCUUAUAUUGGGUCAGAACACCCAGUUUCUCCCUUUAUCAGAAUAUCUUGCUUCAGUUUUAAAACUUACGUCAGAAACAUAUGUUUAAUUCUCAUCCAUUGGCUGGCUACAUUGUGAGGGUAUAUAAAGAAGGGGACUGUGCCUCAUAGACUACGUCAUUUCUGAAGAGGUUCCAUUUCAGAAUGAGGGGUGCUGUAACUCUGCUAGUGUUGUUGUUCUGUCUGUCUGGGGCAUGGGCUCAGGGAGAGAGUGGAGGGGUCAGAGAGAAUGACAUCACAGUGAAGGGGGACUGAAGCUACAGAGACGACCCACAAACAGACGACCGGCCAGACCACCACCACCCCUGACAUCUGGACGGAGCUGAGAGACAUGGUGGUGGAACAGAGAGUGGAGCUGACUGUCACCAAGACUGAACUGAAGAACAUGGAGGCCAGACUGCAGAACCAGUAAAGACAGACCAAAGGUGGCUUUCUCUGCUGGUUUGACUGAUUCAGGACCUGUAGGAUCCUUCAAUACUGACACCACAUUGAUGUACAGUAGAGUCAUCACUUACAUCAGCAAGGCCUACAAGCCAACUACAGGUAUCUUCACAGCACCAGGGGGAGGAGUUUACUGCUUUGAGGCACACGYUUCCCAAGUCUUUGUUUUUUUUCCCUUUACCACAAUGACAAGAUGCUGAUGUUUACUGUUGACCAGGAGGAUGGUUAUUAUAUGUUUCUAUCUAAUGACUGUAGAGCUGGAGGAGAGGGAUGUGGGCUAAAUGUGUCUCCUGACAAACAGGGGGGGAUCUAUGAUGAUACAAAUAGCCACAGCACGUUCAGUGGUCUCCUGCUCUUCCCUAUGUGAGGGCAGCACCAUGCUGUAAUGUUGUGAUGAAUUCAGAGUUCUGUUUGGACCAGAUCUGGGGUUAAAGCAGUCUCUAUGGGGGUGCCACAGGGUUCAA